rnacentral:rRNA from 1 species
AGUGAACGCUGGCGGUAGGCCUAACACAUGCAAGUCGAACGGCAGCACAGUAAGAGCUUGCUCUUACGAGUGGCGAGUGGCGGACGGGUGAGGAAUACAUCGGAAUCUACUUUUUCGUGGGGGAUAACGUAGGGAAACUUACGCUAAUACCGCAUACGACCUACGGGUGAAAGCAGGGGAUCUUCGGACCUUGCGCGAUUGAAUGAGCCGAUGUCGGAUUAGCUAGUUGGCGGGGUAAAGGCCCACCAAGGCGACGAUCCGUAGCUGGUCUGAGAGGAUGAUCAGCCACACUGGAACUGAGACACGGUCCAGACUCCUACGGGAGGCAGCAGUGGGGAAUAUUGGACAAUGGGCGCAAGCCUGAUCCAGCCAUACCGCGUGGGUGAAGAAGGCCUUCGGGUUGUAAAGCCCUUUUGUUGGGAAAGAAAAGCAGCAGGUUAAUACCCCGCUGUUCUGACGGUACCCAAAGAAUAAGCAUCGGCUAACUUCGU